rnacentral:ribozyme from 12 species
AAGGAAUGGAGAAGUAGAGGAGGAAGAUGUGUUUGAUUUUCAUGAUGUUACUAUCUUUGUUUCUUUCUUUUUCCUUUCUCU